GUUAAGCGACUAAGCGUACACGGUGGAUGCCCUGGCAGUCAGAGGCGAUGAAGGGCGUGCUAAUCUGCGAUAAGCGCCGGUAAGGUGAUAUGAACCGUUAUAACCGGCGAUACCCGAAUGGGGAAACCCAGUGUGACUCGUCACACUAUCAUUAACUGAAUCCAUAGGUUAAUGAGGCGAACCGGGGGAACUGAAACAUCUAAGUACCCCGAGGAAAAGAAAUCAACCGAGAUUCCCCCAGUAGCGGCGAGCGAACGGGGAGGAGCCCAGAGCCUGAAUCAGCAUGUGUGUUAGUGGAAGCGUCUGGAAAGGCGCGCGAUACAGGGUGACAGCCCCGUACACAAAAGCGCAUGUGCUGUGAGCUCGAUGAGUAGGGCGGGACACGUGGUAUCCUGUCUGAAUAUGGGGGGACCAUCCUCCAAGGCUAAAUACUCCUGACUGACCGAUAGUGAACCAGUACCGUGAGGGAAAGGCGAAAAGAACCCCGGCGAGGGGAGUGAAAAAGAACCUGAAACCGUGUACGUACAAGCAGUGGGAGCACAGGUUUACC
rnacentral:rRNA from 1 species